rnacentral:rRNA from 1 species
ACGCCUUAUACAUGCAAGUCGAACGAAGUAGCAAUACUUAGUGGCAGACGGGUGAGUAACAUGUGGGUAUCUUCCCUUUGGUGAGGAAUAACACGAGGAAACUUGUGCUAAUACCUCAUAAGUCUUUACGGAGAAAGCUUUAUGCGCCAAUGGAUGAGCCCGCACUUGAUUAGUUUGUUGGUGGGGUAAUGGCCUACCAAGACUUUGAUCAAUAGCUGAUCUGAGAGGAUGAUCAGCCACAUUGGGACUGAGACACGGCCCAAACUCCUACGGGAGGCAGCAGUAGGGAAUAUUGCACAAUGGAGGAAACUCUGAUGCAGCGAUGCCGCGUGAGUGAAGAAGGCCCUUGGGUUGUAAAGCUCUUUCGUCGGGGAAGAAAAUGACUGUACCCGAAUAAGAAGGUCCGGCUAACUUCGUGCCAGCAGCCGCGGUAAUACGAAGGGACCUAGCGUAGUUCGGAAUUACUGGGCUUAAAGAGUUCGUAGGUGGUUAAAAAAGUUGGUUGUGAAAUCCCGAAGCUUAACUUCGGAACUGCAAUCAAAACUUUUUAGCUAGAGUAUGAUAGAGGAAAGCAGAAUUUCUAGUGUAGAGGUGAAAUUCGUAGAUAUUAGAAAGAAUACCAAUUGCGAAGGCAGCUUUCUGGAUCAUUACUGACACUGAGGAACGAAAGCAUGGGUAGCGAAGAGGAUUAGAUACCCUCGUAGUCCAUGCCGUAAACGAUGUGUGUUAGACGUUGGAAAUUUAUUUUUAGUGUCGCAGCGAAAGCAAUAAACACACCGCCUGGGGAGUAC